UUUUUAAAAGAUAAAAAAAUACUGCAAAACCAAAAACCAAAAUCAAAAUCUAAAAACCAAAAACCAAAAACCAAAAGCUGAAAACUAAAAACUAAAAUCUAAAAACCAAAAACUAAAAUCUAAAAACCAAAAACUAAAACUAAAAACUAGUGAAACAAUCAUCACCUAGACUUCUCUCCGGUGAGAAUGGUCAGGUGAACCAAUUUUUGUUUUCCUAUUUCUCAUUGCUUUUAAUGAGCCUUUACUUUACGGCCCAACAUCAUAAAUAAUAAAUACUAUAUAUAUAUAUAUAUAUAUGUUUACUAUUUAGUUAAUUUUCUCUCUCUCCUUUCCUUAAUUGGACUGUGUUUUUGUUUUUAAUUAAAAUAUAGAAAAAAAAACUAGAAUAACACCAAACCAAGUUUUUGCUCCCAAACUAACACUAAAGGUUCAAAGUUACAAAAAUAUGUUUUAUUAAAGAUGUAAAUAUACACUUAUAUCCUUUGAAUUAAUUAAUCCAAACCUAAGGUUUAGAGUUAAGGGGUAGAGUUUUGGAAUUGAAGUUUAAAAUUUUAUAAAAUAAAAAAUAAAUACUAAAAAAUUAAAAAAAAAAUUUUAAAAACAGUUUCAAAAAGUAUUUUUGAAUUAUAAAAAGAAAAUUUGAAAAAAUAAAUAAAAAACAAAUUCGAAAAAAAAAUUCAAAAAAAGAUUAUAAAAAAUUUCGAUUCUGAAAACAUAUAAUUUGAAACUAUAAAAAAAAUUUCUUUUUUCAUUUUAUUUAUUUUUAUUUUAUUUAUUUUUAUUUAUUUUUGUUUGUUUAUUUAAUUUUAAGCCAAUAUUAUUAGGAUAUUUUACCCUUUAAUAAAUGUCAUUUUGGUGACUUUCUUCCUCUAGUAUCAUUUUUGAGACAAAAACUCAAAAGGUGCUAUUAUUGAC
rnacentral:lncRNA from 1 species